GCGUCAGCAGCCGCGGUAAUACCGGCAGCCCAAGUGAUGGCCGAUCUUAUUGGGCCUAAAGCGUCCGUAGCUGGCCACGCAAGUCCAUCGGGAAAUCCACCUGCCCAACAGGUGGGCGGCCGGUAGAAACUGCGUGGCUUGGGACCGGAAGGCGCGACGGGUACGUCCGGGGCAGGAGUGAACUCCCGUAAUCCCGGACGGACCGCCGAUCGCGAAAGCACGUCGCGAGAACGGAUCCGACAGGGAGGGACGAAAGCCAGGGUCUCGAACCGGAUUAGAAACCCGCGUAGU
rnacentral:rRNA from 1 species